rnacentral:rRNA from 1 species
ACCAUGUCGAGUUGUAAUUCGUACCAUAGUAUCUUAUAGAGCGGAUUAAACGUCUGUUGGAACACAGCGCCUUUAGAGGGUGACAGCCCCCGUAAAAUCUAUUCCCACUGUAAGAUACUUUCGAAGAGUCGAGUUGUUUGGGAAUGCAGCUCUAAGUGGGAGGUAAAUUCCUUCUAAAGCUAAAUAUUGACGAGAGACCGAUAGCGAACAAGUACUGUGAAGGAAAGAUGAAAAGCACUUUGAAAAGAGAGUGAAAAAGUACGUGAAAUUGUUAAAAGGGAAGGGUAUUGAAUCAGACUUGGUGCUGUUGUUCAACUGUGUUUUGGCACAGUGUACUCAGCAGUACUAGGCCAAGGUGGGGUGUAUGGGAGUGAAAAAGAAGUUGGAACGUAACUCUUCGGAGUGUUAUAGCCUACUUUCAUAGCUCCUCAGGCGCCUCAGGACUGCGCUUCGGCAAGGACCUUGGCAUAAUGAUUCUAUACCGCCCGUC